UACGUAGGGGGCAAACGUUGUCCGGAUUUAUUGGGCGUAAAGAGCUCGUAGGUGGCGUGUCGCGUCUGCCGUGAAAGCCCAUGGCUUAACUGUGGGUCUGCGGUGGAUACGGGCAGGCUAGAGGCUGGUAGGGGCAAGCGGAAUUCCUGGUGUAGCGGUGAAAUGCGCAGAUAUCAGGAGGAACACCGGUGGCGAAGGCGGCUUGCUGGGCCAGUUCUGACGCUGAGGAGCGAAAGCGUGGGGAGCGAACAGG
rnacentral:rRNA from 1 species